ACUUUCGACGCCCAGUAGGUUGCCACCCCCGAGUGCCCCAAACGCGCGUGGCCUCGGGCAUCCCUAAGCUCUCUGCCUUGUACAGUUGUCCCAAGACUUGCGAUCACAAGCAGCUGAAGCAGCAGAAGAAACAUAAUAAUCUUACUUGUGUGGAUUUUAACAAUAAAUUUCCUGCUGUUUCAGCCUCCUGCACUGCCCCCACAUCUCCAAUGCCCUGCCCUGACUUCUGCACCACCCACAGCAUCAGACCCAUGAGCAAAGGACAUGGGCAGCACUGGGUAAGUCUGCUAUGAUAUUUUUAAACCCAAAUAUUAAUUCGGUCACAAGAAAUUCUUUCACAUGGCCCUAAAAGUAAAUGUAAUUAAUUUGGUAGGUGGUUUGUUUUCCAAGCAACAAGUUGUCUCUUGCAAUAGUAAGGUAAGUACCAUCUACCCUACAAAUAAAACUGUGCUGAGGAAUUUGGUUACGAUAUGGCUCCAUUUUGUAGGCCAAAUUCUCUUUUAAAAACAUCCUCUGACCAAUAGUAAAGCCCUGGAUAAAUAAAAGUUAAGUCUUAUUAACACUUCAAAUUGGAACAGUAUCAUAACUGGAUUGGGACAACUGGAGUAUAAACAGAGAAAUCAC